GAUUGGUCGAAAACCAGAUUAAAGAUCCGAACCCAACAAAAGAGACAUUGCGAGCAAGCCCUAAUUCCGUAUCAUCGAGUAGUAACUCGAGCUCGGAGUUUAACUUUCCGCGAAAACAUCUCCAGAACUUUCUCUGUUGAACUCAAACCCUACCUCUCUCAGCUCUCUGCUCGGUUUCCAAUGGAUUCUGUCGAAACGAACCUCAAUGAUCCCCGUUCCUUUUCUGCGCAAACCCUAAAUUUAUGCAACCAAAACCCUCCUCCGCCUCCCGAAACCCUAUCCUUCGAUUACCCGCCUCCGCCACCGCCCUCGCAAACCAUUGACUCCGAUCCUUACCUAGGAUACGCCCCCGACGAUGGCUACAUCAAUAACAACGGUAUCCAGGUUAAUCAUGAUGCUAAUUCCAAUACUAUUAACAACAAUUCUUCAUCUAAGCCCGAGAUCCAGAAGCCUUUGCUCUCGGAAAAUGGGUUAACUAACACUCAUAGCGGCACCACUGACAGGGAUUAUUCUGGCGGAGAAGAGGAAACCACCAGCCGAAGGCGAAGGAGGAGCCGCUGGGAUCCGCCGUCCGAUUCAAACAACAAUCAGAGCGGGAAUGAUGAGACGGGCAGCGGAACCAAGAAGAGGAAGUCCCGGUGGGCAGAUGAUGAACCUAAGCAGGUGAUUCAGCUCCCUGAUUUCAUGAAAGAUUUCACUGGAGGUAUCCAAUUUGACCCUGAGAUUCAAGCCUUGAAUAGUAGAUUGCUAGAGAUUAGUAGAAUGUUGCAAUCUGGAUUGCCUUUGGAUGAUAGGCCUGAGGGUGCUAGGUGUCCUUCGCCUGAACCUAUUUAUGAUAAUAUGGGAAUUAGGAUUAAUACCAGGGAAUAUAGGGCAAGAGAGAGACUGACCAAAGAGAGGCAAGAAAUUAUAUCUCAGAUUCUUAAGAAGAAUCCAGCAUUUAAACCUCCAGCAGACUAUAGGCCACCAAAGCUUCAGAAGAAGCUUUAUAUACCGAUGAAAGAAUACCCAGGAUACAAUUUUAUUGGGUUGAUUAUUGGGCCAAGAGGGAAUACCCAGAAGAGGAUGGAGAAGGAUACGGGUGCAAAGAUUGUUAUUAGGGGAAAAGGUUCAGUGAAGGAAGGUAGGUUGCAGCAGAAGAGGGAUUUGAAGCCUGAUUAUUCUGAGAAUGAGGACUUGCAUGUUUUAGUUGAGGCAGAAACACAAGAAUCACUUGAUGCUGCCGCAGCGAUGGUAGAAAAGCUCUUGCAGCCUGUUGAUGAAGUAUUGAAUGAGCAUAAGAGGCAACAGUUGAGGGAACUUGCUUCCUUGAAUGGAACGAUAAGAGAUGAAGAGUAUUGUAGGUUGUGUGGUGAGCCGGGGCACCGCCAGUAUGCGUGCCCUUCCCGCACUUCAACUUUUAAGAGUGAUGUUUCAUGUAAGAUUUGUGGUGAUGGUGGGCAUCCAACAAUUGAUUGUCCAAUGAAGGGAACAACAGGGAAGAAAAUGGAUGAUGAAUAUCAGAAUUUCUUGGCUGAGUUAGGAGGUACUGUUCCCGAUUCUGCAAGCAAGCAAAACUCUUUAUCCAUCAGUGCUGGAAGCAAUCCACCUUGGGCUAGCAACAGUGGAAGUGCUGGAAGUGCACACCCUGGCUUAGGGUCCAAUGCUGUUAAGCCCCCCAAGGAAUAUGAUGAUACUAAUUUGUACAUUGGAUACUUGCCUCCGAAUCUUGAUGAUGAUGGUUUGAUCAGUUUGUUUUCAUCUUAUGGUGAUAUUGUGAUGGCAAAGGUAAUUAAGGAACGGGCUACUGGACUGAGUAAGGGGUAUGGUUUUGUGAAGUAUGCCAAUGUUGACAUGGCGAAUAAUGCUAUUAAAGGAAUGAAUGGUUAUCGACUAGAGGGAAGAACCAUUGCUGUGAGAGUUGCGGGCAAGCCACCACAACCCACUGUACCUCCUGGUCCUCGAGCUUCAACAAUGCCCACUUACCCUGUUUCUAGUCAGCCAGUUGGUGCCUAUCCAUCACAGCAAUUUACAACUGGAGGUCCUCUUCCUACUGCCGCUCCUCCUAGUUAUGCAGGGAAUCCAGCUCCAUGGGGACCACCAGUUCCUCCUUCUUAUUCUCCUUAUGCUCCUCCUCCUCCUCCUGGAUCAACCAUGUAUCCUUCUGUUCCAGGUCAGCCUAUGCCUCCUUAUGGCUUGCAAUACCCCCCACAAAUGCACACUGCUCCCCCUGGUGUACCACCUCCACCUGUGACUUCUAGUGAAAUGCCACAAUGUUUCCCACCUGGAGUGCAACCUGAAAACAGCAUCUCGGCCCCUGCUGUUCCUACAAAUAUCUAUGGGAACUCAAUGAAUGCAGUGCUCCCUAAUUCUCAAACUGCAUAUGAAGCAUCUUCAUUAGGUUAUUCUUCUUAUUACAAUGUAGUUCCUCCCCCUCCCCCUCCCCCUCCUCCAGCACCUACAUCUUCGACGGACUAUUCCCAGAACAUUAGUAAUGUGCCUUGGGCACCAAAUCCUCCUUUGCCACCCACAGUCUCAUCUGCUGAGAAAACAACCUAUGGUGCAGAUGCUGAGUAUGAGAAGCUUAUGUCAGAGAUGAAGUGAUCCAGAUAUACUCAGAUUGAUAGUUAUAUGCUCUGAGGUGAUUGUUUAAUGGCAUUGUUGAUUAGCCUAGCAUAAUAUUCUAUUUCCUGGUUAUAAUGCCCUUUUAUUUGCCAAGUUGCCAUCCCUAGAAGCUUCCCUGACAUUCGUUUCUUGACCCAAUUGUUGAAGGUAAUUCCUUUAAUAUGAAGGCCAAUGGGGUGAAACAAGCCAUACAUGUCUUUGUGUCCGCUGGGUUUUUAAUAUUGUUUUUCUGGUGAACUGAGAAGAUAGCUCCCAUGAUUGCAGUUAUUAUGGAAAUGAAUGUGAGGUGUUUGAUUCAUUAGUCGAGGUUAUAUGUGGCUCAACUUAAAGUUGAUAGAAUAGUUGUAAAUUUAGAUAAUAGUUUGGUUUAGGCCAUGAGAAAGAGUAUACAUUUGAGUAUGGCGAGUAUUCGCUUAAUUAUGCAUAACUAAGCUGGUUAGAAAAAAGCAAUUAUUAGAGCUAUUGAUACUUCUUUAAUAGGAUUUGGUUGUUCUACUUGCCUGCUUAGUUAGAAAUUGUACACUCUCAAUGGCUAUUAGGGCCUUAGACGAAGGAAAUUGAUGUUUGGAAUCUGUAUAACUUAGUUUGAUACUUCGUAAAGAACUGACAUGGUGAUUAUAAAGCAUUGUUGAACUAAGGAGUUGGUUACCAAUUCUAUGAUCCACUAUAUAGGUAAUCUUAGUAUGUUUAUCUAGACCUUUGAUCCUGGAAACCAAUCUUCUUGAUUUAUGACUUGUUUGUCAGGGUUGCUUUGAGUCAAUAGGAUUAUAAAUGGUACAAAUUUGUACUGUCAUUUUAUAUAUCAUCUAUAUAGACUAUUAGAUGGCAGAAUUCAUUUUAUAUUCUUUUUGUUACCCUUAUGCAAGUUUUAGUUUUAACUCUUUUUGAACUUUAUAGAAUCUCCAUGGCAACUAUUGUUCAUAUAUAUAAUCAUGCCAAUUAUUGUGCUAUACGGAUAUGAUUUAAACUGUGUUUGGUGCAAACUAACCCAAGGGCCAGUGUUGCUUUUAAAUCAUGCGUUGUCUUGGAAUAAAACAGUUAUAUGUACUUGCUGCAGUUUUGUUCUACUGAGAAAGAUUAUUGCUCAGCUCCUAUCCCAGCGUUUAAUAAUUUAAAUUUUGUUGCUGAUGCUUUAUUGCUCUCUCUCUCUCUCUCUCUCUCUCUCUCUCUCUCUCUCUCUUAUAUUUGUCUAAAAUUUUUCAAAUGGGAGUCUGGUUUAUAAGGAUGAAUUUUGAUGUCAUGUUUAUGAAAAGAUGAAAAUUAUUGAGCAGGUAGCUGACAUUUCCAGGUUUUAUUGUAAAUUUCAGAACAUCACAUGCGGGUGUGUUUUUGUAUUCUGUUCCUAAACUGAUUGACCACUUAUUUGGUUUUCUUCUUAUGACUGUUUUUGGCAUUUGUAAGGCUAGUGGUACUUGUAAACAAAGACUAAUCCUCAUAUUUUUGCCAAAUCUUUAUCUAAUGAUGACACCACCAAACCAUGGCAUUCCCUGGUAAUGGAUUUCUCAUUCCAUAAUCCAAGGAAUAGCUGGUAGGUUAAAUGCUAAGGCAGACUCAUACAGGAAAUAGCUUUCCUUUUUCGUAAUUUUCUUUUCAACUCUGACCUUUGUUUUGAGAUGGUAAAGAUGUUUUGCAAGGUAUGUGUUGCUGUGAUAAGCUGUUGUGGACUCCAAUCACAGAUUUUUGGUGCAUCGGCCACUAGCCUUUUAGAAUGGCCCUUGUUCCCAUUUUGUGAACGAAGGAAGAAUCAUGAAAAGACAUUUUUCAUUAGGAGAGGGUGGGUGUUUGGGGAUUUUUUUAGCUCAAAAGCAUAACACAAUCUUUUGCUGCUUAGGUGGGCUAUUAAAUCGUAACUUUGUUCAAUCGUCAAAGUUACAGCUUGUAUGUGACAUUUUAUUCACUAAUUAUUAUUAGGUUAGUGAGAAUCCAUUAUUUCAAUCAUGAACCAUUUUCAUUUGUUUUCUGGGCAGAGUAUCAAAACAUUAACCUCUGUUUAUUCUAGUGGUUUACCCUUAACGAAUGUGGUUUAACAUGUCAUACUUGGCUAACGUAAAUUUGGCAGGCCAGUAAGUUUGUGACGUGUCCCUACAGGUACCCUAAACUUCAAAAAGGUAGUAAAAGGUACAUGGUCAUACAUAAGAGCGAUGUGAAGUAAAUUGUUGUGAAAGAAUCUUAUUUAGUAUUAGCAUCUUUGUAGCUUAUGAAAAGAUGCUAGCUGAUAUUCGGAUUUCUAUCCCAUUUUACAUAGCGGAACUGCUGUUUUCAUUUUUUCCCACUUUGGUAUGAUGGAUGAUCGGAUGUACGUAGUUUACAAUUAAUCCAAAUCAGUGAGUGCUUAAUGCAUUUUUGUCAACCUUUCUACUCUAUUAUUUUCAUUAUCCAUGCAAUUUAAAACCAAUAGAACUAUAGUUAUCUGUUUUUACAUUCACUUUCUUUUCCACUUCCACCCUUCGUCCUUUGCUCCUUUUAAUCUCGUUCCCAAAUAUGUUUGUAUACUCAUAAAAGCUUCCUAGUGGCUUUUAUUAUUAUUAUUACUAUUAAUUUUGUAUUCGAGGUUAUUAGAGAUUAAUUUUCAAUUAUUAAAAUUAAAAGAUCAAUAUGUUACUAACAUAUCUGAUUUUUGGUCGAAGUUUUUGUUGACACGUACAUUACAUUGUUGCUUAGUCGCAUGAGACUGAGGCAGAUACCAAUUUACCAAGAAACACUAAAAUUCAGUGCAUAGCAAUUAUCACGUGGUUAAUUUUUUUUUUUUUUUUAAGGAAUAUGGGCUGAGAAUGAUGUUGUAUGAAAUUUCAUCUUACAUGUUUUCUUCAACUUUUUCAAUAAUUAGGUAGACGUACCAUGACGUUAAUUAUAUAGUGGCUACUAAUAUAUAAAAUGGAAAACGUAGGGACCAAAAAUGAAGUUGGAGAGAAAAGACACCAAAUAUUUGGUGUAAAACGACAAAUGUUUGAAGGGUGACAUAUUUCAAAAUGGUUUCAACUUAAUAUGGUUUCACAAAAU